CGGGGUACUCGAGUGGCGAACGGGUGAGUAACACGUGGGUGAUCUGCCCUGCACUUUGGGAUAAGCCUGGGAAACUGGGUCUAAUACCCGAAUAGGACCACGCGCUUCAUGGGNNUGUGUGGUGGAAAGCUUUUGCGGUGUGGGAUGGGCCCGCGGCCUAUCAGCUUGUUGGUGGGGUAAUGGCCUACCAAGGCGACGACGGGUAGCCGGCCUGAGAGGGUGACCGGCCACACUGGGACUGAGAUACGGCCCAGACUCCUACGGGAGGCAGCGUGGGGAAUAUUGCACAAUGGGCGCAGCCUGAUGCAGCGACGCCGCGUGAGGGAUGACGGCCUUCGGGUUGUAAACCUCUUUCAAUAGGGACGAAGCGCAAGUGACGGUACCUAUAGAAGAAGCACCGGCCAACUACGUGCCAGCAGCCGCGGUAAUACGUAGGGUGCGAGCGUUGUCCGGAAUUACUGGGCGUAAAGAGCUCGUAGGUGGUUUGUCGCGUUGUUCGUGAAAACUCACAGCUUAACUGUGGGCGUGCGGGCGAUACGGGCAGACUAGAGUACUGCAGGGGAGACUGGAAUUCCUGGUGUAGCGGUGGAAUGCGCAGAUAUCAGGAGGAACACCGGUGGCGAAGGCGGGUCUCUGGGCAGUAACUGACGCUGAGGAGCGAAAGCGUGGGGAGCGAACAGGAUUAGAUACCCUGGUAGUCCACGCCGUAAACGGUGGGUACUAGGUGUGGGUUCCUUCCUUGGGAUCCGUGCCGUAGCUAACGCAUUAAGUACCCCGCCUGGGGAGUACGGCCGCAAGGCUAAAACUCAAAGGAAUUGACGGGGGCCCGCACAAGCGGCGGAGCAUGUGGAUUAAUUCGAUGCAACGCGAAGAACCUUACCUGGGUUUGACAUGCACAGGACGCCGGCAGAGAUGUCGGUUCCCUUGUGGCCUGUGUGCAGGUGGUGCAUGGCUGUCGUCAGCUCGUGUCGUGAGAUGUUGGGUUAAGUCCCGCAACGAGCGCAACCCUUGUCCUAUGUUGCCAGCGGGUUAUGCCGGGGACUCGUAGGAGACUGCCGGGGUCAACUCGGAGGAAGGGGGGGAUGACGUCAAGUCAUCAUGCCCCUUAUGUCCAGGGCUUCACACAUGCUACAAUGGCCGGUACAAAGGGCUGCGAUGCCGUGAGGUGGAGCGAAUCCUUUCAAAGCCGGUCUCAGUUCGGAUCGGGGUCUGCAACUCGACCCCGUGAAGUCGGAGUCGCUAGUAAUCGCAGAUCAGCAACGCUGCGGUGAAUACGUUCCCGGGCCUUGUACACACCGCCCGUCACGUCAUGAAAGGCGGUAACACCCGAAGCC
rnacentral:rRNA from 1 species